AUUCAAUGAAGCGCGGGUAAACGGCGGGAGUAACUAUGACUCUCUUAAGGUAGCCAAAUGCCUCGUCAUCUAAUUAGUGACGCGCAUGAAUGGAUGAACGAGAUUCCCACUGUCCCUACCUACUAUCCAGCGAAACCACAGCCAAGGGAACGGGCUUGGCGGAAUCAGCGGGGAAAGAAGACCCUGUUGAGCUUGACUCUAGUCUGGCACGGUGAAGAGACAUGAGAGGUGUAGAAUAAGUGGGAGGCCCCCGGCGCCCCCCCGGUGUCCCCGCGAGGGGCCCGGGGCGGGGUCCGCCGGCCCUGCGGGCCGCCGGUGAAAUACCACUACUCUGAUCGUUUUUUCACUGACCCGGUGAGGCGGGGGGGCGAGCCCCGAGGGGCUCUCGCUUCUGGCGCCAAGCGCCCGGCCGCGCGCCGGCCGGGCGCGACCCGCUCCGGGGACAGUGCCAGGUGGGGAGUUUGACUGGG
rnacentral:rRNA from 1 species